rnacentral:lncRNA from 14 species
GUGUUGCUAACACAGAGAGGUGCAUCUCAGAUCCCUGGGGGGAAUAAGGCUGUUUCCCUGAAAGUUUUUUUUUUUUUUUAGUCAAGGUAAGAUGGAAAGAGUACUGAUGGAGACAAGACUGAAAAGACAGAAAUAUCAGAAGGGACGGUAGGCUAAAGACAGAACUUCUAAAGCUUCAUUGGAUGCACCUUCAGAGCUGGAAAUGCUGCUCAGAAGAAGUUGGCUACAUUACCAAGUCCUUGAGUAGCAGAUCCUUGUUGACGAUGGUGGUCAUUGAAUGCAUAAAUAUUGAAGCAUAUAUCACUUACAGACAAGAUCUUUGAAAUACGUUCCCUUCAGACAGUAAAGUAGAUGGGUCCAAAAUGAGGUACAACUUCACUCUUCUGAAUACAGUGACUUCACCUGAGACUUUGCAAAGUGAAGCAUGUACAAUGAAGUUGAAUGGAUAAAUAAGUUCAUGAAUAAGCAACUUAGUUUCCAAAUCUGAUCUUUGAAUAGCUCUUAUUAGCUGUUUAUUUGAAGAAUAAAACUUAUUUUGUGAUUAG